GUGAGGUGUCAGUGUGCCCCUGCUGGGGGGUGCCUCCCAGUUAGGCUGCUCGGGGGUCAGGGGUCAGGGACCCACUUGAGGAGGCAGUCUGCCCGUUCUCAGAUCUCCAGCUGCCUGCCAGGAGAACCACUGCUCUCUUCAAAGCUGUCAGACAGGGACAUUUAAGUCUGCAGAGGUUACUGCUGUCUUUUUGUUUGUCUGUGCCCUGCCCCCAGAGGUGGAGCCUACAGAGGCAGGCAGGCCUCCUUGAGCUGUGGUGGGCUCCACCCAGUUCGAGCUUCCCGGCUGCUUUGUUUACCUAAUCAAGCCUGGGCAAUGGCGGGCGCCCCUCCCCCAGCCUCGCUGCCGCCUUGCAGUUUGAUCUGAGACUGCUGUGCUAGCAACCAGCGAGACUCCGUGGGCCUAGGACCCUCCGAGCCAGGUGCGGGUUAUAAUCUACUGGUGCGCCGUGUUUUAAGCCCGUGGAAAAGCGCAGUAUUAGGGUGGGAGUGACCCGAUUUUCCAGGUGCGUCCGUCACCCCUUUCUUUGACUCGGAAAGGGAACUCCCUGACCCCUUGCGCUUCCCAGGUGAGGCAAUGCCUCGCCCUGCUUUGGCUCGUGCAUGGUGCGCGCACCCGCUGACCUGCGCCCUCUGUCUGGCACUCCCUAGUGAGAUGAACCCGGUACCUCAGAUGGAAAUGCAGAAAUCACCCGUCUUCUGCGUCGCUCAUGCUGGGAGCUGUAGACCCGAGCUGUUCCUAUGCGUCCAUCUUGGCUGUAAUCCCAGGUUCAUCAAAAUAAGAUAUGAUCAAGGUACAAAAGAGUUAAAGAAGCUAUUUAUUUUAAUGUUUCCUUGGAGAGCACACUUGUUAUUGUAUGUAUGCAAAAGAUGAUCUUACUCUUGAGAGCCACUAGAACUCUUUGAAGAAAAAAAAAUGCUAUUUGCUAUAGGGAAAUCUUUCUGGAAAAUAAUAAUUUCACCUUUGAGUCAGCUUCCCUGGACUCUUGCCUCAUACAUCUUCAGCCAAGGUCAGUCCGUUAUGAAAAUCCACUCUCCCUUCCCCAUGAAAGAACAUUCGAGGCAUACUUAUUAUAUUAACUGAAUUGUUACAUAUGUAUUAAAAGUUUAUAGUAUGUGUUAGCAUUUAUUUAUUUUUUGUAAGAUGUCUUUCCAGGAAUAUAUAACCCUGGUUCAUAAUAUUGUACCCUUUGUAUCUAAGAUUUGAUAUAUGUGAGUAAACAUAUAACUAUCUAUCUGGGGGCAAGUAAAUUGAAAGCCAAGAAUCAUCUCAAGUGUUGGAAAUCAUAUGGUAUAGAAUUCAUUACCAUUUGUGAACUGGAAUGGGCAGCAAGAUAUUUGAAUAAAAAUUAAACUAGUUCUAUAAUUGGUGAUUUGAAAUUUUUGGAAAAAGCCACGGCAGUGAAAUAGUUUGGAUGUCCCCUCAAAAUCUCAUGCUGAAUUGUAAUCCCCAGUGUUGGAGGUGGGGACUGGUGGGAGGUGUUUGGGUCAUGAGGGCUUGUUGCUGGCCUCACCAUGGUGAGUGAGUUCUCAGGAGAUCUGUUUUUUUUUUUUUUUAAUUGUGCGGCACUUCCCCGCAACCCCUCUUGCUUAUGCUUUUACCAAGUCAAGUUCCUGCUCCUGUUUCAUCUUCUGCCAUAGGUAAAAGCUUCCUGAGGUCUCCUCAGAAGCAGAUGCUGCUACCAUGAUUUACAGCCUGCAGAACAGUGAGCCAAGUAAACUUCUUUUCUGAUAAAUUACCCACACUCAAGUAUUUCUUUAUAGCAACAGAAGAAUGGUUAAUAUAGAAAAUUGGUACCAAGGUACAGGGCUUGAAACCAUGGAAGCAACAUUGGAACUGGGUAAAGGGCAGAGGUUGGAAGACUUUGGAGGGCUCAGAAGAAGACAGGAAGAUGACAGGAAGUUCAGAACUUCUUAGAGACUGGUUAAAUGGUUGUGACCAAAACAUUAAUAGUGAUAUGGACAGUGAAGGCCAAGCUGACCAAGUCUCAGAUGGAAAUGGCUUUGCUCACUGGAGCAAAGGUCACAAGGAUUAUCCCUUAGCAAAGAACUUGGCUGCAUUCUGUUCAUGCCCUAGGUAUCUAUGGAAGUUUGAAAUUAAGAGUGAUGAUUUAGGUAUCUGGUGGAAGGAAUUUCUGAGCAGCAAAUCAUUUAAGAUGUGGCCUAUUUGCUUCUAAGAGCCUACACUUAGAUGCAGGAGGAAAUAAAUGACUUAAAGUUGGGAACUGAUAUUUAAAGGGGAAGAAGAGCAUAAAGGUUUGGAAAAUUUGAAGCCUGGCCAUGUGGCAAAGAAAUAAAAUGCUUUUUCAGGAGAGGAAUUCAACCAGGUGGCAGAGUAAUCACUUACUAGAGCAAUUUGCAUAAAUAAAAGACAGCCAAGUGAUAAUAUCCAUGGCAAUGGGGAAAAGGCCUUACAGGCAUUUCCGAGAGAUCAUCCAGGAAGCCCCUUCUAUCACAGGCCCUGGGGCUUGGAAAGAGAAAGUAAUUUUGUGAGCCAGGACCAGGACCACACAGUUCCGUGCAGCCUUGGAACACUGCUCCCCACAUCCCAGACACUCUGGCUCCAGCUUCAGCUCAAAGGGCCCCAGGUAUUUCUCAUAUUGCCACUUUGGAGAGCACAAGCUGCCUUAAAUUUUGAUGACUUUCAUGUGCUCUUAAAAGCCUGUGGGUGCACAGAGUACAAAAGUGAAGGAGGCUUGGCAGCCUCUGCAUAGGUUUCAGAGGAUAUGAGAAAGCCUGGGUGCCCAGGAAGAAGCCUGCUAGAGGGACAGAACCCCUACAGAGAACCUCUACUAGGGCAUGACAAGGGGAGAUGUAAAAUGUGGGGUUGGAGAAUCCCCAAUGGGGUACUGCCUAGUGGAGCUGUGAGAAGGGGGCCACCAUCCUUCAGACCCCAGAAUGGUAGAUCCACCAGCAGUUGGCACCCCUUGCCUGAAAAAGCCACAUGCACUCAACAGCCAUGAGAACAGCCACUGGGGCAGAACCCUGUAAAUCCACAAGGGCAGAGCUUCCCCAGGUCUUGGGAGCCCACUCCUUGCACCAGUGUGCCCUGGAGGUGGAACAUGGACUGAAAGGAGAUUAUUUUAGAAGUUGAAAAUGUAAUGACAGCCAUGCUGAGUUUCAAACUUGCAUGGAGCCUGUAGCGCCUUUCUUUUGGCCAAUUUCUCACUUUUAGAAUGGGGAUAUUUACCCAGCGCCUAUACCCCCAUUAUAUCUUGGAAGUAAAUAACUUGCCUUUGAUUUUACAGGCUCAUAGGUGGAAGAAACUCAUCUCCAGAUGAGACUUCAGACUUGGACUUGGGACUUUUGAAUUAAUUCUGAAAUCAGUUAAGACUUUGGGGAACCAUUGAGAAGGAAUAAUUAUAUUCUGAACUGUGAGAACCAUUUGUGGGGCCAGGGGAAGAAUGAUAUAGUUUGUAUGUUCUCUCCAAACCUCAUGUUGAAUAAUAAUCCCCAGUGUUGGAUGUGGGGCCUAGUGAGAGGUGUUUGUGUAAUAGGGGCAAGUUCUUCAUGACUUGGUCCUGUUGUCACCAUAGUGAGUGCGUUUUCAUGAGAUCUGGUCAUUUAAAAUGUGUAGCACCUCCCUCCCCUUCUUGCUCCUGUUUUUUCCAUGUGAAGAUGCCUGCCCCAGCUUUGCCUUCCACCAUGAGUAAAAGCUUCCCAAGUCCUCCCCAGAAGCAGAUGCUGGCGCUAUGCUUCUGGUACAGCCUGAAAAACCUUGAGCCAAUUAAACCUCAGUGAGCUCAAGAUGUCUUUGUUGAAACAGAACCUCCCGAAGUUACAGUAUUGGUUUUGGGGCUCCACACAGAGAACACAUCGCGGAAGCUAUAAUUGAGGGAGACAAAGCUGUCAGGACGACACCAAGAGAGUUAGAAAGCCCAAGAGUGGAGCAUUCUUCACUAUGAUUCCACCUGACACUUGGCUGAAAGCAUUUUGCACUAAUUUGCUUUGUGCCCAUUCAGACAAUCUAAAAAGAAAGGAUGGGGGGACAACAAGUGUCUAUUAAACAGAAUAAACAGCCUCUGGCAAAUGAAUACAUUUUACACACUUGUGCUUUUGGAGGGAUGGGGUAGUGAUGAGGGGAAGGGGAAUGGAGGAGGAGAAGUCAAGGAUUAGAGGUCUCUUCAGCAUCUCAGGACUGCCUCUCUGUCUCUGUGGUCACAGGGGUAGGUUUGGUCCACACGGCAGACAUGAAACUCAAGAUACAGCCCUGGCCUAUAUGGGUUGGGAGGCCAGUGCUGCCUCUGGUGGUCCCCCCAGACCUGCAAUUCAUAUUUUGAAUGGGUUUAAAGCCUACUUGGCAAUUACUUUUAUGCUCUAAUGAAAUAGAUUUGAACCACUUUCCCUUGAUUAUAUUUUAAAUGUUUACCCCCAUAUAAAUAUAACUGCUCUGAGGUGGGAGGGGUUAAGCCUGUCCUAUGAAUCAAUUAAAGACAAAAAAAAAAAGCCUUGAGCUUUUCGUCCAGAUAGCAUGCAAGAAACACCAGGGUAAAGACAAAGGGAGCCAAAGAAUCCAUUCUAGCCUCUGUAAUUGGCUCCUAUGUUGAACUGUGAAGAGUUGGGACAAAAGCACAGGACAGAGAAGAUGGUCUAACAAGAAAUACAUGGUCUUUUAAAAGUGAAACACAGCAUUUUUUGAGGGCAGCCAAGAUGGCCGAAUAGGAACAGCUCUGGUCUACAGCUCCCAGCGUGAGCGACGCAGAAGACGGGUGAUUUCUGCAUUUCCAUCUGAGGUACCAGGUUCAUCUCACUAGGGAGUGCCAGACAGUGGGCGCAGGACAGUGGGUGCAGCACACCAUGCACAAGCAGAAGCAGGGCGAGGCAUUGCCUCACUCGGGAAGCGCAAGGGGUCAGGGAGUUCCCUUUCCUAGUCAAAGAAAGGGGUGACAGACGGCACCUGGAAAAUCGGGUCACUCCCACCCUAAUACUGCACUUUUCUGAUGGGCUUAAAAAACGGUGCACCAGGAGAUUGUAUCCUGCACCUGGCUCAGAGGGUCCUGCACUCACGGAGUCACACUGAUUGCUAGCACGGCAGUCUGAGAUCAAACUGCAAGGCGGCAGCGAGGCUGGGGGAGGGGUGCCCGCCAUUGCCCAGGCUUGCUUAGGUAAACAAAGCAGCAGGGAAGCUCCAACUGGUUGGAGCCCACCACAGCUCAAGGAGGCCUGACUGCCUCUGUAGGCUCCACCUCUGGGGGCAGGGCACAGACAAACAAAAAGACAGCAGUAACCUCUGCAGACUUAAAUGUCCCUGUCUGACAGCUUUGAACAGAGCAGUGGUUCUCCCAGCACGCAGCUGGAGAUCUGAGAAUGGGCAGACUGCCUCCUCAGGUGGGUCCCUGACCCCUGACCACCGAGCAGCCUAACUGGGAGGCACCCCCCAGUAGGGGCAGACUGACACCUCACACGGCCCAGUACUCCUCUGAGACAAAACUUCCAGAGGAACGAUCAGACAGCAGCAUUCACGAUUCAUGAAAAUCCGCUGUUCUGCAGCCACCGCCGCUCAUACCCAGGCAAACGGUCUGGAGUGGACCUCUAGCAAACUCCAACAGACCUGCAGCUGAGGGUCCUGUUGGUUAGAAGGAAAACUAACAAACAGAAAGGACAUCCACACCAAAAACCCAUCUGUACAUCACCAUCAUCAAAGACAAAAAGUAGAUAAAACCACAAAGAUGGGGAAAAAACAGAGCAGAAAAACUGGAAACUCCUCUAAGAAGCAGAGUGCUUCUCCUCCUCCAAAGGAACGCAGUUCCUCACCAGCAACGGAACAAAGCUGGAUGGAGAAUGACUUUGACAAGUUGAGAGAAGAACGCUUCAGACGAUCAAACUACUAUGAGCUACAGGAGGAAAUUCAAACCAAAGGCAAAGAAGUUAAAAACUUUUUGAAAAAAAUUUAGACGAAUGUAUAACUAGAAUAACCAAUACACAGAAGUGCUUAAAGGAGCGGAUGGAGGUGAAAGCCAAGGCUCGAGAACUAUGUGAAGAAUGCAGAAGCCUCAGGAGCUGAUGCCAUCAACUGGAAGAAAGGCUAUCAGUGAUGGAAGAUGAAAUGAAUGAAAUGAAGUCAGAAGGGAAGUUCAGAGAAAAAAGAAUAAAAAGAAACGAACAAAGCCUCCAAGAAAUAUGGGACUAUUUGAAAAGACCAAAUCUACAUCUGACUGGUGUACCUGAAAGUGAUGGGGAGAAUGGAACCAAGUUGGAAAACACUCUGCAGGAUAUUAUGCAGGAGAACUUCCCCAAUCUAGCAAGGCAGGCCAACAUUCAG